rnacentral:rRNA from 1 species
AGAGUUUGAUCCUGGCUCAGGAUGAACGCUGGCGGCGUGCUUAACACAUGCAAGUCGAACGGACUCAUAUUGAAACCUAGUGAUUUAUGAGUUAGUGGCGGACGGGUGAGUAACGCGUGGAAAACCUGCCGUAUACCGGGGGAUAACACUUAGAAAUAGGUGCUAAUACCGCAUAAGCGCACAGCUUCGCAUGAAGCAGUGUGAAAAACUCCGGUGGUAUAUGAUGGUUCCGCGUCUGAUUAGCUAGUUGGCGGGGUAACGGCCCACCAAGGCAGCGAUCAGUAGCCGGCCUGAGAGGGUGAACGGCCACAUUGGGACUGAGACACGGCCCAAACUCCUACGGGAGGCAGCAGUGGGGAAUAUUGCACAAUGGGGGAAACCCUGAUGCAGCGACGCCGCGUGAGUGAAGAAGUAUUUCGGUAUGUAAAGCUCUAUCAGCAGGGAAGAAAAUGACGGUACCUGACUAAGAAGCCCCGGCUAACUACGUGCCAGCAGCCGCGGUAAUACGUAGGGGGCAAGCGUUAUCCGGAUUUACUGGGUGUAAAGGGAGCGUAGACGGCAGCGCAAGUCUGGAGUGAAAUGCCGGGGCCCAACCCCGGAACUGCUUUGGAAACUGUGCAGCUUGAGUGCGGGAGAGGUAAGUGGAAUUCCUAGUGUAGCGGUGAAAUGCGUAGAUAUUAGGAGGAACACCAGUGGCGGAGGCGGCUUACUGGACCGUAACUGACGUUGAGGCUCGAAAGCGUGGGGAGCAAACAGGAUUAGAUACCCUGGUAGUCCACGCCGUAAACGAUGAUUAAAAUAGGUGUCGGGGGACCAAGGUCCUUCCGGGUGCCGGCGCAAACGCAUUAAGUAAUCCACCUGGGGAGUACGUUCGCAAGAAUGAAACUCAAAGGAAUUGACGGGGGACCCGCACAAGCGGUGGAGCAUGUGGUUUAAUUCGAAGCAACGCGAAGAACCUUACCAGGACUUGACAUCCCUCUGACGUAUCCUUAAUCGGAUAUUUCUUAGGGCAGAGGAGUCAGGUGGUGCAUGGUUGUCGUCAGCUCGUGUCGUGAGAUGUUGGGUUAAGUCCCGCAACGAGCGCAACCCUUAUUGUUAGUUGCUACGCAAGAGCACUCUAGCGAGACUGCCGUUGACAAAACGGAGGAAGGCGGGGACGACGUCAAAUCAUCAUGCCCCUUAUGUCCUGGGCUACACACGUAAUACAAUGGCGGUCAACAAAGGGAUGCAAAGCCGCGAGGCAGAGCGAACCCCCAAAAGCCGUCCCAGUUCGGAUUGCAGGCUGCAACCCGCCUGCAUGAAGUCGGAAUCGCUAGUAAUCGCGGAUCAGCAUGCCGCGGUGAAUACGUUCCCGGGCCUUGCACACACCGCCCGUCA